AGUGCCAGCCCGGAGGCGGCGUCCCGUGACUCUGAGCUGCCCGCACCUGCCUCGGAGUUACCUGUUGUCAACCAUGGUCUGGAAGCAGGUGAUGCUGCUUCUGAUGAAUCUUCAGGUCAGUAGUAGCCUAGAGCUGUGCCACAAUGCCAAUGUCAUUCCCCUCACUUCAUCUCAUCAGGUGGAUGUUUCAUCAUCUCACAUCAUCAUGACAUGAAGAAGGGUGAGUAUGAUGCAAUAAGAUAUUUUGAGAGCAAGAAAGAUUUCACAUUCACAUAAUUUUUAUUUCCAUGUAUUGUUAUAACUGUUCUGUUAUUAGUUAUUGUUAAUCUCUUACUGUGUCUGAUUUGCAAAUUAAACUUUAUCAUAGG